CCGGGCGCCCGAGGGGUGCUGUCGCCGAAGGGGCGAGGGGGCGUGUGCCCUGGACAGAUCCCGACCGCGCUGGGUGUCCAGGCCCCACCUGGUGGAGUUCGUGGGAGUUGGUUCUCGUGAGCGGUGUGCGGGCGUGGGUGUAAAUCCCACCGCACUUUUGAGUUCGUCGUCGCAGCAUCCAGGCGAGCCUGCUCUAUCCGGGCUGGGGGCCCGCCUGCGCUGUUUCAGUUGGAAAUCAACAGACUCUGCAGGCGUGAGUCUCUGUGGGCAUAUAGAGACCUAUCUGUGGCUCUUAAUCCAGACUGCACGUCCACCACCAAGCCUUCCUGGAGUGGAACUUUUGCUCAGUUCUUGGCUGGAGGGAUGCAGUACGACUUUCCUUCACUUGUUUUCAGGGACUCUUAACUGGUAAAGAGAGUUUGGGACAUUUUACCAUCUGGAGUUUCUCUGUGCCUUGCUGAUGAUCUGAGCUCAAACCUGCCAGAUAAGAAAACCUCCUGUAACAUCUGAUUUCACCUGCAAUCUCUAAGAUGGAAUUGUGUGUAUAUUGUGAAGUGUGGA
ensembl:lncRNA